rnacentral:lncRNA from 11 species
UCUCUUAUUUGCUGUGUCAUACUUAUAAUAAUAAUAAUAACAGUAAUAAUAAUAAUGUGAUAUGAAAUCCAGUAUAUCUCUUGUUUGCUGUGUCAUACUAAUAAUAAUAAUAAUAAUAAUAAUAAUAAUAAUGUGAUAUGAAAUCCAGUAUAUCUCUUGUUUGCUGUGUCAUACUUAUAAUAAUAAUAAUAAUAAUAAUAAUAAUGUGAUAUGAAAUCCAGUAUAUCUCUUGUUUGCUGUGUCAUACUACUACUACUACUACUACUACUAAUAAUAAUAAUAAUAAUAAUGUGAUAUGAAAUCCAGUAUAUCUCUUUUUUGCUGUGUCAUACUUAUAAUAAUAAUAAUAAUAAUGUGAUAUGAAAUCCAGUAUAUCUCUUGUUUGCUGUGUCAUACUACUACUAAUAAUAAUAAUAAUAAUAAUGUGAUAUGAAAUCCAGUAUAUCUCUUGUUUGCUGUGUCAUACUAAUUAAUAAUAAUAAUAAUAAUAAUAUAUAUAUAUAUGAUAUAUAUCAUAUAUAUAUACUUUUAUUCUUCUCUCCUGUCCAUCUCCACCAUCCUUCCUUCUUCCGGAAGGGAGGGAGGGAGGGCGGGAGGCGCUUGACCGGGAGUGACCCCGCCGCUAUCCCCGCAGCGCCCACAAGGGGGCCCCGGCGCUGCCUCAUUGGAUGACGAGAGUGUUUGGGCUGAGGCGCAGAGGCCUCUGGGAGUCGUAGUCCAGCGCCUGCCGCAGCGAGGGAAGGGGCGUGCGUUGUGGAGCGAGACGGAACUACAGCUCCCAGCAGCAGGCCUGGCUUCUUCCAUUGCCGCUGCGGCCGGGAGGCAGAGGCGGCCUUGAGGAAGGAGAGCAGCAGGCAGAGAGAGAGAGCCCCUGAUGGCUUCCAAAAGCGGCCUCUCUCUCCUGGGCGGCAAACGGACCACCCACAUGGGUCUGCAGGAGACCCCCAGCAUCAGCCCCAUGGUGAGCAGCCUUGCAUGGCUUGGGCCCACUUCUUCCCUUCCUUCUUCCCUUCUCUCCUUCCUUCCUUCCUUCCUUCCUUCCUUCCUUCUUUCCUUCCUUCCCUCCCUCCUCACAGCAACCCAGUCAUUCUGGCCAUUAAUGCCUUUGAGAACACAUUAAUAUAAUAAUAAUAAUAAUAACAACCUGCUUUGAUUGAAGUCAAAAAUCAGAAACUCCUCAAAGCACAUCAGACAAAAAACCAGUACAAGAAAACCGCACUACAAACUAGAGCUAACAGCUGGCACAACAAAACAUUGCAUGGAUGGCAUCCAACCUCUGCAUAAUAAUAAUAAUAAUAAUAAUAAUAAUAAUAAUAAUAAUAAUAAU